GGGAUUUUUUUAUGGAUCAUCUAAGGAGGAGGAGGCAAAUAAAGCUUUUAGAUAGCUUAAGGAAGUCUCUGGCUCACAGGCCAGAGUGACCUGAACUGCUUUGAAAUUUGCUAGUGACACGUAAGUUAACCAGAGAGGAUCAGGAUUAAUUUAUUUGUACAGAUAUUGGAGCAGCGAAAUAGAUGUGACGCCUAAUUGCAUCUGCUGUUCACUGAGAAGGCAGAAGUGGUUCAUAGUGUGAUAAUCAAUAACAGCUUUGGCUGUAGUCAUCAUCAUGGGGACCUUGAAAUAGGAGUGUUCAAGGUCCAUAGGGGAGCAAGAAAGGCAUGUCAGGAUAGCAAAGCCUGGGCUUCAGAUAAGCAGACAUCAACUUCUUCAGACAACUGUGCUUGUUCUGGGAACUGAUCUCCAUUGGACUGUAGUGACAGAAAAUGAAACCUGUUUUUCACUAUGGGAUGAGAAGAUCAAUGCAGUUUUGGAGAACAAACCCAAACCUGAAAACUUUGACCAGCUUUGUCAGUCUACAGACACGCUCAAAUCCUGCCUGAUCUCCCACUUCUGGAGCUGACCCAAGCCUGCAGUGUCUGGUGUGUGGUGCAGGUGGGUGUGCUGUGAGGUCUGCAGCUUUGGCAGCCUGAUGGGUGGUGAGAACCUGCUGGCAAAAGGGAAAGCCUCUGGCUUUUAGGGACUCAGUAAGAAAAGAAAAUGUGGGACAUGCCUGUCAUUUUAAGUAACUGUAUUUUUAUUCUUUAAUGGGAGAGUAGAGUAAGUAUUCAGUGUGUACCUUAGGUAUUGGUACUGGUAUUACUUUUAUGUCAUCGCAGACAUCUAAUAUGCAAAUAACAUUACUGACUGAAAACUAAAAUUAAGUAUAGAACAGAAGCCAUCUGGUAGUUUGGUCAGACAAGUUAGAUAAUUAGCUGUUCCUGUCAAGGGAUUGAUUAAAAUAGGCCAUCUUCGUAAUAGUGACUAGUUUGUAGGGACUUCCUGAAAGCCACGUGGGAUAAUGAUAAUAAAAAGAACAAAAUUAGAAAAGGGAAGAAAAAAGUUGGUGCAUCAUAGCUCACAAUGGCUUUUCUAUUUCUUUUUCUCUAAGUGAAUUAAGCAAGCUUUUAAUUUGAAGGCUGUUUUAAAUUUAGGUACUUCGGAAGGAAGCAUAGAGAAUUUUCUGACUCUGGCAAUGUGGUACAAAUAGGUCAUCUAGGCUGCUCCUAGGCAUCCAUCGUUCGUUCUGCAUCAAGCUCCAGUUUCAUUGCUUGCACUCAAUUAACCUGGGAGCACUGUGGGCAUAGCUGACCUGCAGAGACCACUUUAAGUUGUGUGACCUGAUGGGUCCUGUUCCUUCUGGGGGACUGGCACUAUUAAGCAAGAGAAAACGAGGAAAAACAAUUAAAACAUUACUACACCUCUUCUUUCUCAGGUGCUGAUAAAUCCAUGCGUAGAAGUGUUUAUUCAGAAUUUGCAUUCAAACAUUUUCAAGGAAGAAGCUGUUCAGCAGAUAGUAUGUGAAAACAACUGAAACGUGUGACGAGGAUCUGUCAGGCAGAUCCAAUCUCUUCACAGAGCUGCAGCAAAGGGUUCCAUGCUCCCUUUGGCCUCUCCUGCUAGAUCUUGCCCUCCUCAUCCAGCAGCUAGCAGCAGGGAAACCUCCAAAGACUGAGAAGUGCUUGGUGCUGCAUAUGAUUUCCUUAGUGGAUGAGCUAUGCCAGUGUGAUAGGGUAAUUUCAAUCAGCUUGACCUGAAUCUUCUUUUCAGUUGGGUCUCUUUGGAUACACAGUGUUAAGAGCUUCUAUGCUAAAUGGACUAGUAAAAAUAAAUGGAGAGUGGAGUGGCAAAGCUGGGGAAUGCUCCAUCGUUGGUGUGAUUUAAUUAAACACCCUUUCACUUCAGAUGGAUAAAAAUCCUGGACCUAAAGGAGAUAAAUUAAAUUUGGCAUUGUUUUGAUGGUAAAUAGUAUGGAUCACCAAAAAACUACAGGUUUUUAUUUUUUACUUUGUUUCUACUGAUUUACUAGCUUCAGUAAAGAGUUGCUCAUGCUGCUUGAGAUGGGCAUUUGUAAGAGUUCCAGUGUGGAUGUAAAAUUUUGCUGCAAAUCUAUUUUUUGAGAUCGUGAGCAAGUUGAACACUAAAAUUAAAAUUUGGGUAACAAUCAAAAAUGCUCUAGCCUUUCUGUGCCUGGAUUCUCUUAGCAAUAAAAUAUGCUUCUAAAUUAUUUUCAUUAAAUGAAGCUUUUAUGUCCAUUUCUUCCUUGAUUAGGAAGGCAAUGAUUUGAAAAAUUUAAGAUAUUGAGGUCUUGAGUGUCAGAGAUGCCCAGCUUUAAGAAAAGCGAAGUAAACAUUUCUCUGCAAUAUGGUCAAAAUAAAUUGCUGUGAAUGUGGAUGUACAAAUAAUUCCAGAUCAGUUUAAUGGGUCAAGCUUUCAUAUUAUUAAAAGGGCGAUGAUUGUAUGCACACGUGAUCAAGUUAAUUCAAGUCACCAAAUGUGUUCUGUGCAAAGUGAUGCGUUUGUUGAAUACUUAGCAAAGGAGUGUUGUAAGAAGUGUUGAACCUGACACUAUUCCAGAAAUUUUCUUUUUUAAUAUCAAGAAUGUUAUUUUCCUGAAGUCCACCCGAAGUGAAAGAUCCUGAUUUUUAGCUUUCAUGUGCCUGUUGCCGUUCAUGCUUUAAGUUCUGUCCACUCACAUGUUGUUUUAAUGCCCUUCUGCACUCCCUGUCCUGAUGCCCAGAAAUGGGUGAAUUAUGUGCGUGCAACCUAGCUUUCCACUGUCCUUUGCAUUCCUUUUAUUAUUUACUUACAAUAAAGAAAAUGGACUGAGAAGUUGACAAAUUGAAGCAAGAGCCAGUAUUUCAUUUGGUAAUUGUUGCAAAUGAGCAAGUAAAUGACGAAGGUAUGAGAUAAUAAAAGGUCAGGGCGAAUGGAUGGAGCUGAGCGCUUUUAAGUCUGGCUGCUCUCUUUAUAGCAGAUCAUUGGGGUUGAAUUUAAUCUAGUAUUAAAAUUCAGUUUCUUCUUUUUCUUUUUUUUUUAAGAAUUUGUUUUAUGGUAUGAUAGAACUAAAGAUUUUUUCCCUACAUUGUAUUUCUCUAAUGUUAGAUAUUUUUGAUAUCAGCUUUUGAUGAGAUGUCUGAUUAUAUGUCCUGUUUUCCUCUUGUUCUUUAAGAUGGUCAAAUUCAGAUUUUCUUUUAGAUAAGCCCUUGGCCUUUCAUUUGCUUUUGCCUUGCAAAGUCAUUUAUUCCUUCAAGCAGAGUCUGCAGCUCCAGCUGUGAAUGUAGAUGAAUGUUCUUGCAGGGUCAGUAGUGUAGCACUGAACCUAAAUAAAAGGAUUAGCAGGAGUUCACUCGGAGUAAAAACUCCUAAUUUCACCAUAGUAAAUACAAGAGACCAUGGAGGAGGUGGGGGGAGAAUAAAGCUUUGCUAUUAAAAUUGCUAACAAAUGGUUAUUCAGCCCUACAUGCCUCUGCCUUUCUGCUUCUGUUGCGCUUCUCAAAUGGUAACGAAGGAUGGGAGCACUUUAAUCCAU
rnacentral:lncRNA from 1 species